AUGAAUUUAUUUGUGCUGGAUUGUGUAGACUGAUUAUUAUCUAUGUAAAUUUUUGUUGAUGAUUGACCAUUUGUUCUUUGCUGAUGUGUGAAGAGCCCCACUGUCGCAAGAAUGGACAAGGAAAAGGGGAAGGAGAGGAGGAGGAGAAGGAGAAAGAGAGGAAUUUGGUCUCCAUUAUGAAGACUAAGCCGCCUGCCCCUGGAAGCAGAAGGGGAAGGGCAAGGGCUGUGUCGCUGCCAAGGAAGCGGGCCAAGGAUUACGGCAAUGUCCCACUCGCCGAGUUGUUAUUACGGGUAAAAAAAAAGCUCCACCGCCUUGACGUCCCGCUCCCCCCGCCGACGCCAGCGGGCGUGCCACGAUCGCCCCUGCCAACGGCUUCGCAAACGACUCCGAGAGGGAGACUGCAUCUUCACCGGCAAUGGAGCAUGAUAAGCAAGCAGAGAAGGAUUAUGAAGAGGAGGAAGAGAAUGAGGAGGAAGAGGAUGAGUAAGAUACUCUGUUUGAGGAGGAAGAUUCUCAUUUUGAUGUCAAAGCACUAAGUGUUAUGCUAUGCAAAAUUGCAUUGUUUGGCUGUCAACGUUCAAUAUUUUUUGCCGUAUAAAGUUCAAAGGAGGAGCUGUCCAAAAUUCAAAAGCAAUGAUGCCCAAUUCUUUCUUAGUCAUAUUUGUUCAAUUUCUACACUUUCCAUAGAAGAAAGCUUAUUUUUCAUCAC